UACGAAGGGGGCUAGCGUUGCUCGGAAUGACUGGGCGUAAAGGGCGCGUAGGCGGAGUGCUUUGUCAGACGUGAAAUUCCAGGGCUUAACCUUGGGGCUGCGUUUGAGACGGGCAUUCUAGAGUUUGGAAGAGGGUCGUGGAAUUCCCAGUGUAGAGGUGAAAUUCGUAGAUAUUGGGAAGAACACCGGUGGCGAAGGCGGCGACCUGGUCCUUGACUGACGCUGAGGCGCGAAAGCGUGGGGAGCAAACAGG
rnacentral:rRNA from 1 species